rnacentral:rRNA from 1 species
GUAGAGGAUGCUUCUGGGCAGCGGCCGGUCUAAGUUCCUUGGAACAGGACGUCAUAGAGGGUGAGAAUCCCGUAUGCGACCGGCUGGCACCCGUCACGUAGCUCCUUCGACGAGUCGAGUGUGUUUGGGAAUGCAGCUCUAAAUGGGUGGUAAAUUCCAUCUAAAGCUAAAUACCGGCCAGAGACCGAUAGCGCACAAGUAGAGUGAUCGAAAGAUGAAAAGCACUUUGGAAAGAGAGUUAAAAAGCACGUGAAAUUGUUGAAAGGGAAGCGCAUGCAACCAGACUUGUCGGCGGUGUUCCGCCGGUCUUCUGACCGGUCUACUCGCCGCCGACAGGCCAGCAUCGUGUGGGUGCGCCGGAUAAAGGCGCCGGGAAUGUGGCCCCUCGGGGUGUUAUAGCCCGGCGCACAAUACGGUGCCGCCCGCGCGAGGUCCGCGCUUCGGCUAGGAUGCUGGCGUAAUGGUCGUAUGCGGCCCGUCUUGAAACACGGACCAAGGAGUCUAACAUCUGUGCGAGUGUUCGGGUGUCAAACCCCUACGCGGAAUGAAAGUGAACGGAGGUGGGAGCUUCGGCGCACCAUCGACCGAUCCUGAUGUCCUCGGAUGGAUUUGAGUAAGAGCAUAGCUGUUGGGACCCGAAAGAUGGUGAACUAUGCCUGAAUAGGGUGAAGCCAGAGGAAACUCUGGUGGAGGCUCGCAGCGGUUCUGACGUGCAAAUCGAUCGUCAAAUUUGGGUAUAGGGGCGAAAGAC